rnacentral:rRNA from 1 species
CACGUAGGGUGUGAGCGUUGUCCGGAAUUAUUGGGCGUAAAGAGCUCGUAGGCGGUGUGUCGCGUCGGCCGUGAAAACCUGCAGCUUAACUGUGGGCUUGCGGUCGAUACGGGCAUCACUGGAGUUCGGCAGGGGAGACUGGAAUUCCUGGUGUAGCGGUGAAAUGCGCAGAUAUCAGGAGGAACACCGGUGGCGAAGGCGGGUCUCUGGGCCGAUACUGACACUGAGGAGCGAAAGCGUGGGGAGCGAACAGG